UACGGAGGGUGCGAGCGUUGUCCGGAAUCACUGGGCGUAAAGGGCGCGUAGGCGGCGCGGAUAGUCGGCGGUGAAAGCCCGGAGCUCAACUCCGGGUCGGCCGUCGAUACUUCCGGGCUUGAGCACUGUAGAGGCAGAUGGAAUUCCGGGUGUAGCGGUGGAAUGCGUAGAGAUCCGGAAGAACACCGGUGGCGAAGGCGGGUCUCUGGACCGGAACUGACGCUGAGGCGCGAAAGCGUGGGGAGCAAACGGG
rnacentral:rRNA from 1 species